AAGUCGUAACAAGGUUUCCGUAGGUGAACCUGCGGAAGGAUCAUUUCCGAAAAAUACCAUACCAACAUACACUGUGAAUAGUAUUUCUUUUACUCUCCCGUUUAGCAUAACUUCUGGUCGAUUUUUUUGCUUCCUGUUGUUGUCUUAAGUGUCUCGCACACUGAUUCAACUUCAGUUUGCAGUUAAUAUUAUGCCAGUGACUUUGCUUAUUUUAUAACGGGAGAGGCCUUGUUGAACUACCUUAUUGUGAAGGUUGAUAGUCAUAAUUUGUUUUGAUAUACAAAAAACAAUUUGAUUGAUAACUUUUAACGGUGGAUCUCUUGGCUCGU
rnacentral:misc_RNA from 1 species